AAUGGGCGCAAGCCUGAUCCAGCAAUGCCGCGUGUGUGAAGAAGGCCUGCGGGUUGUAAAGCACUUUCAGUGGGGAAGAACGGAUGCGGGCCAAUACCCCGGAUCACUGACGUUACCCACAGAAGAAGCACCGGCUAACUACGUGCCAGCAGCCGCGGUAAUACGUAGGGUGCGAGCGUUAAUCGGAAUUACUGGGCGUAAAGCGUGCGAAGGCGGUUUUGUAAGUCAGAUGUGAAAUCCCCGGGCUCAACCUGGGAACUGCAUUUGAGACUGCAAGGCUAGAGUGUGGCAGAGGGGGGUAGAAUUCCACGUGUAGCAGUGAAAUGCGUAGAGAUGUGGAGGAAUACCGAUGGCGAAGGCAGCCCCCUGGGUCACUACUGACGCUCAUGCACGAAAGCGUGGGGAGCAAA
rnacentral:rRNA from 1 species